rnacentral:tRNA from 1 species
UGCCCCGUCGUCUAAUGGUAGGACGGAUGAUUCUGGAUCAUCUAGUCGAGGUUCGAGUCCUUGCGGGGCAA